rnacentral:tRNA from 1 species
CGGGGUGUAGUAUAAUGGUAGUACAUGCCCUUGGGGUGGGUAGGGCCCGGAUUCGAUUUCCGGCAUCCCGA